rnacentral:rRNA from 1 species
AUUCCAGCUCCAAUAGCGUAUAUUAAAGUUGUUGCAGUUAAAAAGCUCGUAGUUGGAUUUCUGGCGUGAGGUGCUUGACCCGCCGCGGUUACGCGUGUGAGUGUCGGUGUGCCUCGGCCAUCCUUCUAGAAAUUGGCUCUGCCCUUCAUUGGGUUGGGGUCAGGAUCUAGAUCUUUUACUUUGAAAAAAUUAGAGUGUUUAAAGCAAGCGUUGCGUGAAUACAUUAGCAUGGAAUAAUAACUUAGGACUUCGGUUCUAUUUUGUUGGUUUCUAGGACUGAAGUAAUGAUUGAUAGGGAUAGUUGGGGGUGCUAGUAUUCAGCGGCCAGAGGUGAAAUUCUUGGAUUCGCUGAAGACUAACUUAUGCGAAAGCAUUCACCAAGGAUGUCUUCAUUG